GACGAACGCUGGCGGCGUGCUUAACACAUGCAAGUCGAGCGGUAAGGCCCUUUCGGGGGUACACGAGCGGCGAACGGGUGAGUAACACGUGGGUGACCUGCCCUCAGCUCUGGGAUAAGCCUGGGAAACCGGGUCUAAUACUGGAUAUGACUCCAUGACGCAUGUUGUGGGGUGGAAAGCCUUGUGCGGCUGAGGAUGGGCCCGCGGCCUAUCAGCUUGUUGGUGGGGUGAUGGCCUACCAAGGCGACGACGGGUAGCCGGCCUGAGAGGGCGACCGGCCACACUGGGACUGAGACACGGCCCAGACUCCUACGGGAGGCAGCAGUGGGAAUCUUGCGCAAUGGGCGAAAGCCUGACGCAGCGACGCCGCGUGA
rnacentral:rRNA from 1 species